CCGUUUCAACAUUUGUUAACUCCCAUUUAUUUCCUUCUUAAAACAUAGCCAAUCUUUAAAACAAAGGCCAUUAACCCAAUUUGUUAGGGUUUCAUUUGGCAAGAAGCCGCUGAACCACCAUUUUAUUUGGUGACCGAUAGUUUUUAGGUAAUGGCCAGAUCUGGUACAUGCCCACAGAGAUCCGGUAAGCUUUCCUUUUUUCUUUUUCUUCUUCAUUCUUUUUAAAAAAACUUCAAAUCCUUGUUAUUUUUUCAAGGAAGAUGAAAAAAAAAGGUUCAUAGAGCAAGGAAAUUCUCCACAUUGUUCGACCCCUCGCCCUUACCUCCGCAUCUAUGAGGUAUUCGGGCUCCUCAUCAGUGUCGAUUUACAUAAAAAAAAAAUUAAAUCAACCAAAAGGAAAAUAAAUCGACAGAGAGAAAAAAAGGAACUUUGAAAUCACCUUUACUAUCUUGAUUGCUUUUUUUCUAUUCUGUGUGUCUCCCCAAAAAAAUUACAAUCGAUUCCCCCUGGCUUUAUAGUCGAAUGUUCAAAUAAAAAUACAAUUUUUCUUUUUGCUUUCGUAUUGGCUAUUGUUGCUGUUGUUUGCUUGUUUUUUUCGCAGGUACGGAGCGUGUGCUGGCACCUGGCGUGAGGCGUACGGAGGCGCGCGUGGUGGAAGUACAGUAGCUGCUGGUGGCUGCGGCGCUAAGCAGAGGCUAAGAUUUCUGCCUUGAUUUUUUUGUUUUUGGGCUGUAGAGCAUUUGGGCCUUGUAAAUGGACUUAUAAUUGGACUAUUCAAUUAAUUUUUAUUUGGUUUAUUUUUUGUUUAGUGGGCCCGGGUAAAAAUGAGCUUUUACAGUAAUAAUAGAAUUCAUUACUACAUUUUCAUAUUAUUCCUCAAAGAAUAUUAAAAGAAACAAAAUAUUUGAGCAUACGCCACAUAUGUGGCUAAGAAUCUUUCAUAUCACAUUAAUAACAUAAGUUAUCUUUACCCUUUAAAAAGUUAUCUUGAGAACUCUCAUUGUUUUCUUAUUUAUUACUAUGUUCCUACUUUUAGUGGUCAAUGAGUAUAUCUUUUAUUUUCUUUAUGUUUACAUUCACUUCGAGGAAUGCAACAAAUCUAGUAGGACGGACUUAUAAGCAUUCCAAUAGAUUCUUUAUUUCAUAAUUACCAUCGCAAACAUGCAUGAGAUUUCAAAACAAAAUCUAUCUAUGCAUGUUGUAAUUAUUAGUCUCCAAUUAUAAUAAAUAAUAAAUAAAACAUAGUAAAAUAUACCUAAAAAUCUUUAACAUCAUCGUCAUCAC
rnacentral:lncRNA from 1 species